rnacentral:lncRNA from 1 species
ACCGACAGCACAGAGGCCACGCCCCUCCAGUCGGUCACGCCCACUGACCACGCCUCCUAGUGGUCCAGCCAAGAUGCAGAAUGGCCCAGCCCUGCCUCGGGUCGGCCAAGCCCCCUUGGCAGAAAGCCAGGGUGAAAUUUUGUAAGAAACCAGUGCAAAGGAACUUGUGAUAGCCUUCGAAGAAUGUUGUAUAAAGUUACUAUAGUCACUGCAAAAACUCUUCUUUGAUCUGGAUGUUUUAUUACCCUCACUUUAUAAAGGCCUUUGCCAGCCCGAGGGCUCUCUUCAUUCCUGCCGUCCCAGCACUCUGGGAGACUGAGGCAGGAGGACUGGAAGUUCAAGCCCACCCUGGGAGACUUAGCUAUACCCUUGCCGAAAAGCAGAAAACAAAAAGGGCUUUUGAUGUAGCUCAGUGUAAAGGUGCUGGAUUCAAUUUCCAGCCCCGCGGUAAAAUAACAGAAGAACCCGGGUCCACCUGAACUUUUGUAAAUGAACCUGGCAGAUGCGAACUCUUUUCAACAAAUCCGACCAGCAUUGUUGCUACAGGAGUUUGAGAUCAGACUCUGACUGUGUGACAGUCCUUGCUCUUGAAUCCUCCUCUAGAAAAUCUGGAGGAGAAAAAGAGUUAGGAAGUACAUGAUUUAGCAGGCACUUCUUGGAUAAGGAGCUAACUACUUCUACUGGAAAGGGCAGAGCACUAAGGAAAGCCCCAAAGGGGCAGAGGCAGAGGUGGCGACUGCCCAGAGUGUUAAUGUGUGCGUGCCUUAUUAGAAUGAAAGAGUGGUCUAGGCCUGUGGCUGGUGUGGCUUCUUUUCAUCAACUGUGAGGCUCCACCCUGGUGGCGUUUGUUUUUCUUGUUUUGUUUUGUUUUUGUUUGUUUAUUUUUCUGGUGGCGUUUUUGAAAUUAUGUAGUCCUCCUCCAAAGAACUCCAUUGGCUGAAGUCCAGGUGAGUGGCAUUCAAAGCUGCACUAUAAACGUAUGCAAAUAAGGG